CCUAAAAUCUAGAUUCUGACCGCUGUCAGUUCCCACAGAGAAAUACAGUGUCAAGGGGAAAAGUACUUACAUGUAAUCAGUGAUCAGAUUAUGGCACCAUGCAGUGGCUGCCUGUCUCCACUAGGACCACCUCCAUCGUUUAUUUUACCUCUCUGAACCCCCUGUUCCAGAUUAGCUUCAUCUUUCGUCUAUUAAACUGGUUCUUGCUUGGAGAUGGAGUUGGACAAGAUGACUUCUGGAGGUCCCUUCCAACCUCAGCCUUGAUUCCACUUGGAAGAGCCAUCCUCAACCCCUCACCCAGUAGUUUUCAGCAUUAGCUAUGUAUAGUUAGAGCUGACUGUCCAUUUUAGUUAAGCACCAGUCGUAUCUCAUCAUUAAUUACUGUAGCACUAUAAA